UGUGUAGGCGGUUCUUUAAGUUUGGUGUGAAAUCUCCCGGCUCAACUGGGAGGGUGCGCCGAAUACUGAGGGACUAGAGUACGGGAGAGGAAAGUGGAAUUCCUGGUGUAGCGGUGAAAUGCGUAGAUAUCAGGAGGAACACCGGUGGUGUAGACGGCUUUCUGGACCGUAACUGACGCUGAGACACGAAAGCGUGGGUAGCAAACAGGAUUAGAUACCCUGGUAGUCCACGCCCUAAACGAUGCAUAUUUGGUGUGGGCAGUUCAUUCUGUCCGUGCCGGAGCUAACGCGUUAAAUAUGCCGCCUGGGGAGUACAGUCGCAAGGCUGAA
rnacentral:rRNA from 1 species